GCCUCUGUGGCCGUGUUUGCGCAGCCGGCGAAGCAAAGCUACCAUCAGACCACAUCGCUGGAGGUGAGCCAAAUCGCUGAGAAAAAAAACAGAGGUUCUCAAGUGUGUUAUCGUAAAUCAUAGAGGGAGCCACAACAUGAUUCAUCAUACAGAAGAAGAUUCAGGUUGCGGCGAGUGUUCUACUGGAUCACAGACGGAACGGCAGGAAGAUUCAUUGAACUCCAAAACAUCUGAAGGUGACAUUGAACCUGAGUUCAGAAGGAUGUUGCAAAGCAUACGUGAAGAAGAGAAGAAGCUGAGACAGGGUAUCAAGGUAGAAGAAGGACAAUCCUCUAAGAAGAAGAGAAGAAGCUGAGAGUCACGGGUUUGUGUGUUGUCAUCAAACUGUUGUCCGUUUGUGUAGUCAUGAGACUACUUUUGUAUUGGAGUCUGUCAUGAGUCACGAGACUCUUGUUUGUGUCUGUCAUGUUGUGUCUGAAUAGAGUCACGAGACUCAUGUUUAUUUGUGUCUGGUUGUGUAGUCAUGACACUACUCUUGUCUGUUUCUGUAUUCACGAGACUUGGUUGUAUUGUUAGUACUCUUUUUAUAAAUUAAGGUGAAGCUCUCAUUCUACAACACACAACACUUCUUCUCUGCUUCUCUCAUUAGAGAAACUCAACGCUUUUCAUCACACCACAACGCUUCUUCAUCAGACCACAACGCUUCUCCUCUUAUUCUAAAACACAACGCUUCUCUCAUUCUAAAACACAAAGCUUCUUCUUCUCUUUUUUUACUCGAUAUGGGAUCUUCUUCUCAAAAUCCUUUUGAGGGAUUGGAUAGUCAAUAUGUUGAAGAAACAUUUGAUCAAUAUUUUGAUCAAUAUGUUGAAGAAACCUUUGAUCAACAUUUUGAUCAAUAUGUUGAAGAAACAUUUGACCAGUCCUUCGAGAAUUUUACCAUUAAUCAAGAAAAAGAAAAGAAAAAAAGAAAAAAACGAGUUUACAUCGAACGAAAUCGUGAAGAAGGAGAUCAACAUUUAUGGAAUGACUAUUUCAGUGAAACUCCAACAUAUCCUCAUAAUCUAUUCCGACGACGUUUUAGGAUGAACAAGUCUUUGUUCGUGCAUAUUGUUGAUCGACUCUCCAAUGAAGUUGAAUUCUUUCGACAAAAGAAAGAUUGUCGGGGAAGGCUUAGUCUCUCUCCACUUCAGAAGUGUACGGCAGCGAUUUGUUGCUUGGCAUAUGGUACUGCGGCUGAUACGGUUGACGAAUACCUCCGACUCGGUUCAACUACAACUCGAUCAUGUUUGGAAAAUUUUGUGGAUGGAAUAAUAUAUUUAUUCAGCGAGGAGUACCUAAGAAGACCUACACCGGCUGAUCUUCAACGUCUACUUGAUAUUGGUGAAUAUCGUGGAUUUCCCGGGAUGAUAGGAAGCAUCGAUUGUAUGCAUUGAGAGUGGAAGAAUUGUCCCACCGCUUGGAAAGGUCAAUAUUCUCGUGGUUCGGGAAAACCCACAAUCGUUUUAGAGGCGGUUGCAUCUUAUGAUCUAUGGAUAUGGCAUGCAUUUUUUGGACCUCCAGGUACCUUAAAUGAUAUCAAUGUUCUUGAUCGCUCACCUGUUUUUGAUGAUAUAAUAAAAGGUGAAGCUUCGCAAGUCACCUUCCAUGUCAAUGGAAGAGAGUAUCAUAUGGCUUACUAUCUCACCGACGACAUUUACCCAAAAUAGGUAACUUUUAUCCAAUCAAUUUCAAUGCCACAAGGGCCGAAAGCGGUUUUAUUUGCUCAACAACAAGAAGCUGUCCGAAAAGAUGUGGAGCGUGCUUUUGGAGUCUUGCAAGCUCGUUUUGCCGUUGUUAAAAAUCCGGCACUUUUUUGGGAUAAAGUCAAAAUUGGGAAGAUUAUGAGAGCAUGUAUCAUACUCCAUAACAUGAUAGUGGAAGACGAACGAGAUGACUACACUCUAUAUAAUGUUACAGAGUUUCAACAAGGAGAAGACUCCGGAAGUUCACAUGUGGAUCUCGAUUUUGAUAUGGGUAUGCCUACAAAUAUCGCCAAUUUGAUGGAUGCUCGAACUAGAAUUCGUGAUAAACCAAUGCAUGAACAACUGAAAGCUGAUUUGGUUGAACAUCUAUGGGGUAAAUUCAGACGUGAUGAAUACAACAAUUGAGCUCAGAUGUUUCUUUUAAAUUAUUCUCGUUUAUUUUACUAAUCUUUGUUUUAUUGUUUUUUUUUAAUUAAUGUUUAAAAUGUUUUCUUUUAAUAUGUUUAAUUUAAAAAAUAUAUUAAAUCUUUAUAAAAUUUUAGUUUAAUAAAAAAUAUUCCUUAAGAACCCAACAUUAAGAACUUUACCAUUGGAGCCAAUAAAUUCAGUGUCUCUUAACUACAACCUCUUAACUAUCAUUAAUUAUUAAAAAAUUGUUAAGACCCAUAUAACAACUCUAAGGGUUAAUCAUGCUCUUAGUCAACCACGAUUUUCGUUUCCUUUAGGCUUUUAUAUGUGGUUCCUUCUCUUCCUUUUAGAAAGAAAAAAUUAUUUAGACUAUGAUUAACCCGGAGUCCUUAGAGUGGAGUUCUUAGCAGAAGUUAAGAAACUGUUUCUUAAUUUUUAAUUAAAAAAGCUAAGAACCGAUUCAUAAAGUCUUUAUUUAAGAACCGGUUCAUAAAGUCUUUAUUUAAAAACCGGUUCUUAGGUUUUUUAGUUAAAAGUUAAAAAAACAGUUUCUUAACUUUCCGAUAAGAACUCCGGAUUAAUCAUGCUCUUAGAUUUCAGGUGCAUAGUUUUUAACUAACGUCAGAUUACGAAAGUCAAAUAAGACACGCAUUGAGACCUGCACGUUACAUAUUUUCUUCAUGAAAUCGGGCAAGUACCAGAAAGCCCAACACGAGAAGUGUGAGAUCUGAAAAUAUGGUACAGCACUCUUUCUUGAGUUUAAGUUUCCCCUGAAACAAAGUUAUUACUAUGUGAAAAGGUUGGGUUUGGACUUGAUAGUUUACAGAGAUCAAUAUGAUGAUGAUUGUCGAGUGAACGACACGAUAAACAUGGGCAUGUUGUUGAUGAGACUUGGAGGAAAGAUCAUGUCAUAAUUUGGACGGUGGACCUAACUUGGCUCCGUGUGGAACAAGGUACAUUUUCUUUCUCUCUUUUGGGUUUCAACAAAUUAUUAUGCCCCUUUUCUUUUAUUAUCUCUGUCUAUAUAGCAUUUAGAUCCUUUUAUGUUAUAAGCAUUUCAAUAAUAUGUUAUUUUGUGCGUACAAAAGCUUAUAUACUGAUGGGAAAAUAUUAAUUAUAGCAGUUUAGUAACACAUAAUGGAAAAAAUUAAACAUUAACGAAUCCGAUAUACAGUAUAUUAGUAUAUUACAGGUAGAGUUUAUUGUAUUGGAUUGCGGAUCUAAAUUACUAAUUAGUGAUUCGAUAAUAAUCACGAAUAUGUUUCUCCCUCUCUUUCCUUGUUAAGUACCAAACCACUGGUUUCAACUUUCGUUUAAGUGGACUGCUCAUGUGCUGACUAGAAAUCACACACAAAUCUUACACCAAAAUGUUCAGUUCGAGAGAGCUAGGGACUAGCAUUUUGGUUACUUUUCAGGUUUUGUUCACGACUAAAA